rnacentral:rRNA from 1 species
AACGAACGCUGGCGGCAGGCCUAACACAUGCAAGUCGAGCGCUCACCUUCGGGUGGGAGCGGCGGACGGGUUAGUAACGCGUGGGAAUAUGCCCUUCUCUACGGAAUAGCCUCGGGAAACUGAGAGUAAUACCGUAUACGCCCUUCGGGGGAAAGAUUUAUCGGGGAAGGAUUAGCCCGCGUUGGAUUAGGUAGUUGGUGGGGUAAUGGCCUACCAAGCCUGCGAUCCAUAGCUGGUUUGAGAGGAUGAUCAGCAACACUGGGACUGAGACACGGCCCAG